rnacentral:rRNA from 1 species
GACGAACGCUGGCGGCGUGCUUAACACAUGCGAGUCGAACGGAAAGGCCCUGCUUUUGUGGGGUGCUCGAGUGGCGAACGGGUGAGUAACACGUGAGUAAACUGCCCUUGACUUUGGGAUAAAUUCAGGAAACUGGGGCUCAUACCGGAUAGGAGCUCCUGCUGCAUGGUGGGGGUUGGAAAGAUUCGGCGGUUGGGGAUGGUUUCGCGGGUUCUCAGCCUGUUGGUCGGGUAGUGGCUUACCAAGGCUUUGACGGGUAGCCGGCCUGAGAGGGUGACCGGCCACAUUGGGACUGAGAGAGGGCCCAGACUGCUACGGGAGGCAGCAGGGGGGAAUAUUGCACAAUGGGCGGAAGCCUGAUGCAGCAACGCCGCGUGCGGGAUGACGGCCUUCGGGGGAUAAACCGCUUUCGCCUGUGACGAAGCGUGAGUGACGGUAAUGGGUAAAGAAGCACCGGCUAACUACGUG